rnacentral:rRNA from 1 species
AUUGAACGCUGGCGGCAUGCCUUACACAUGCAAGUCGAACGGUAACAGGUCUUCGGACGCUGACGAGUGGCGAACGGGUGAGUAAUACAUCGGAACGUGCCCAGUCGUGGGGGAUAACUACUCGAAAGAGUAGCUAAUACCGCAUACGAUCUGAGGAUGAAAGCGGGGGACCUUCGGGCCUCGCGCGAUGGGAGCGACCGGUGGCAGAUUAGGUAGUGGGUGGGAUAAAAGCUUACCAAGCCGACGAUCUGUAGCGGGUCUGAGAGGACGACCAGCCACGCUGGAACUGAGACACGGCCCAGACUCGUACGGGAGGCAGCAGUGGGGAAUUUUGGACAAUGGGCGAAAGCCUGAUCCAGCAAUGCCGCGUGCAGGAUGAAGGCCUUCGGGUUGUAAACUGCUUUUGUACGGAACGAAAAAGUCUCCCCUAAUACAGGAGGCCCAUGACGGUACCGUAAGAAUAAGCACCGGCUAACUACGUGCCAGCCGCCGCAGUAA